rnacentral:rRNA from 1 species
UCUAAGUUUGAUGGCGACCGGCGCACGGGUGAGUAACACGUAUCCAACCUGCCGAUGACUCGGGGAUAGCCUUUCGAAAGAAAGAUUAAUACCCGAUGGCAUAGUUCUUCCGCAUGGUAGAACUAUUAAAGAAUUUCGGUCAUCGAUGGGGAUGCGUUCCAUUAGGUUGUUGGCGGGGUAACGGCCCACCAAGCCUUCGAUGGAUAGGGGUUCUGAGAGGAAGGUCCCCCACAUUGGAACUGAGACACGGUCCAAACUCCUACGGGAGGCAGCAG